rnacentral:rRNA from 1 species
UACGUAGGGUGCGAGCGUUUAAUCGGAAUUACUGGGCGUAAAGGGCCAGUAGGCGGCCAACUAAGUCGGAUGUGAAAUCCCCAGGCUUAACCUGGGAACUGCAUCCGAUACUGGAUGGCUUGAAUUCGGGAGAGGGAUGCAGAAUUCCAGGUGUAGCGGUGAAAUGCGUAGAUAUCUGGAGGAAUACCGGUGGCGAAGGCGGCAUCCUGGACCGACAUUGACGCU